GUCCCUGUAGUGCAAUGGAUAGCGCGUUGAACUUCUAAUCCAAAAAGGUUAUGGAUUCAAACACCCCACCUGGGAUG